rnacentral:rRNA from 1 species
UACAUGGGGUGCAAACGUUGCUCGGAAUUAUUGGGCGUAAAGCGCACGUAGGCGGUUCGUUAAGUCGGAUGUGAAAGCCCUCGGCUCAACUGAGGAAGUGCACCCGAAACUGGCGAGCUAGAGUACGAAAGAGGAUCGCGGAAUUCCCGGUGUAGAGGUGAAAAUUCGUAGAUAUCGGGAGGAACACCGGUGGCGAAGGCGGCGAUCUGGGUCGAUACUGACGCUGAGGUGCGAAAGCGUGGGGAGCAAACAGG